rnacentral:rRNA from 1 species
GAAGAUGUAUGUUCUAGCGGCGGACGGGUGAGUAACGCGUGAGCAACCCGUCCCUUACAGGGGGAUAACACAGCGAAAGUUGUACUAAUACCGCAUAAGGACCACGGUAGGACAUCCGUACAGGGGUCAAAGGAGCAAUCCGGUAAGGGUGGGCUCGCGUCCGAUUAGAUAGUUGGUGAGUAACGGCCCACCAAGUCGACGAUCGGUAGCCGACCUGAGAGGGUGAUCGGCCACAUUGGGACUGAGACACGGCCCAAACUCCUACGGGAGGCAGCAGUGGGGAAUAUUGGGCAAUGGGGGGAAACCCUGACCCAGCAACGCCGCGUGAGGGAAGAAGGUUUUCGGAUCGUAAACCUCUGUCCUUGGUGAAGAGGAAGAGACGGUAGCCAAGGAGGAAGCCCCGGCUAACUACGUGCCAGCCGCCGC